AAAAAUUGGGGAGUAGAAGCCAUUUGCAAUGUUUAGGUCAAAUGCGUCUCUUAGUGCUGCUUUAACUUUAUUAGUUCAAGUUGGAGUUAAUUCGAUUUAUAUUUAGUGGAUGAUAAUGGCUCAUUGCUGGAUAUGUAUUCACGAAGUGAUAUCCCUGCUUUGGCAAAAGAUAAAGCAUAUGCACAGAUUCGCCUUGGUGAAAUGCGUAUUCACCAGGUAAUUCCUCAAUCUUAUGUAUUUAUCUGACUCCAUCAGGCAUGCUAACUGUAUGGUAGAUAGCAAUCUCU